GCUGGGCAUGGUGGCACGUGCCUGUAAUCCCGGCUACUUGGGAGGCUGAGGCAGGAGAAUCGCUUGAACCCGGGAGGUGGAGGUUGCGGUGAGCCAAGAUCACACCACUGCACUCCAGGCUGGGCAAAAAACAGAGUUUUUUGAAACUCUGUCCCAAAAUAUAUAUAUAUAUAUAUAUACUGGGAGGUUUUUUGUUUUUUGGGGUUUUUGUUUGUUUUGAUUUUUUGAGACAAAGCCUUGCUCCGUCACCCAGGCUGUAGUGCAGUGGUGUGAUCUCAGCUCACUGCAACCUCUGCCUCCCGGGUUCAAGUGAUUCUCCUGCCUCAG
rnacentral:sRNA from 1 species